GACGUAGGAUGCGAGCGUUGUCCGGAUUUAUUGGGCGUAAAGAGUUCGUAGGCGGUCUUCUAAGUCAGUUGUGAAAUACUUCAGCUUAACUGGAGAGGUGCAAUUGAUACUGGAAGACUUGAGUACUGAUGAGGUAGGCGGAAUGGACGGUGUAGCGGUGAAAUGCUUAGAUAUCGUCCAGAACACCGAUAGCGAAGGCAGCUUACUAAGGAGUAACUGACGCUGAGGCACGAAAGUGUGGGGAUCAAACAGG
rnacentral:rRNA from 1 species